AUGGGAUGGGAUGGAUCCAUGGGAUGGGAUCCAUGGGAUGGGAUCUGUGGGAUGUAUCCAUGGGAUGGAUCCAUGGGAUGGAUCCAUGGGAUGGGAUCCAUGGGAUCCAUUGGAUGCCGUUGGAAGCGGCACCAGCUCAGCCUCGUUGGGAAGGGAAAUCCCAAAGUGGGGGCGAGGCCGCGGGAAAGGGAGGAAAAGGGACCCAGAAUGAUCCCAAUCCUGAUCCUGAUCCCGAUCCCAAUCCCGAUCCCAAUCCCAAUCCUGAUCCUGAUCCUGAUCCCGAUCCUGAUCCCAAUCCCAAUUCCCUUCCCAAUCCUGAUCCCAAUCCCGAUCCUGAUCCCGAUCCCAAUCCUGAUCCCAAUCCCAAUUCCCUUCCCAAUCCUGAUCCCAAUCCCGAUCCUGAUCCUGAUUCCAAUCCUGAUCCCAAUCCCAAUUCCCUUCCCAAUCCUGAUCCCAAUCCCGAUCCUGAUCCUGAUUCCAAUCCCGAUCCUGAUCCCGAUCCCAAUCCUGAACCCAAUCCUGGUCCCGAUCCUGAUCCUGAGGAGGCCGGGCUGGAACACGGGAAUGGGAUUGAGAUUGGGAAUGGAAUCGGGAAUGGGAAUUGGGAACAGGAUCGGGAUUGGGAUCAGGAUCAGGAGCAGGAUCAGGAAUGGGAUUGGGAAGGGAUCGGGAUUGGGAUCAGGAUCAGGAUUGGGAAUGGGAAGGGAUCGGGAUUGGGAUCAGGAUUGGGAAGGGAUCGGGAUUGGGAUCAGGAUCCGGAUUGGGAAUGGAAAAUGGGAUCGGGAAUGCGAAUCAGGAUUGGGAUCGGGAUCAGGACUGGGAAUGGGAUCAAGAUCAGGAUUGAGAUUGGGAAUGGGAAUGGGAACAGGAUCGGGAAUGGGAUCAGGAUCGGGAUGGGGAAGGGAAUUGGGAUUGGGAACAGGAUCAGGAUUGGGAAUGGGAAUUGGGAUCAAGAUCAGGAUUGAGACCAGGACUGGGAAUUGGGAUUUGGAUCAGGAUCGGGAUCAGGAUCGGGAUUGGGAUCGGGAUUGGGAAUGGGAUCAAGAUCAGGAUUGA
rnacentral:lncRNA from 1 species